CCUACGGGUGGCAGCAGUGGGGAAUAUUGCACAAUGGGGGAAACCCUGAUGCAGCGACGCCGCGUGAGUGAAGAAGUAUCUCGGUACGUAAAGCUCUAUCAGCAGGGAAGAAAAUGACGGUACCUGACUAAGAAGCCCCGGAUAACUACGUGCCAGCAGCCGCGGGAAUACGUAGGGGGCAAGCGUUAUCCGGAUUUACUGGGUGUAAAGGGAGCGUAGACGGCAGCACAAGUCUGGAGUGAAAUCCCGGGGCGUAACCCCGGAACUGCGUUGGAAACUGUGCUGCUGGAGUGCAGGAGUGUUAAGAGGAAUUCCUAGUGUAGCGGUGAAACGCGUAGAUAUUAGGAGGAACUCCGGUGGCGACGGCGGCUUACUGGACUGUACCUGACGUUGAGGCUCGAAAGCGUGGGGAGCAAACAGGAUUAGCUAACCCAGUAGUC
rnacentral:rRNA from 1 species